CCCGUCUCCCUCCGCCUCCAACGCUAAUAACCUUCUGGAAAAUUCCGCUAAUCCAAGAAAUUCUCGCCCCCCAACCCAACCCCCAACCAACCAACCAAACCCAACCGAAGAAGCCGAGCCGAACCCCACUCCGCCGAUCAGCCGCUAUGCGCUGAGGCCGAAUCGCCGCAGCCCGAGGAGGAGAAGGGGGUGGAGGGGAUGGAGGGGAGUGGCGGGUCCGCGUCGCUGCCGCCGUUCCUCACCAAGACGUACGAGAUGGUGGACGAGCCGGCCACGGACGCGGUGGUGGCGUGGACGCCGUCCGGCACCAGCUUCGUCGUCCUCAGCCAGGCCGACUUCUGCCGGGAUCUUCUCCCCAAGUACUUCAAGCACAACAACUUCUCCAGCUUCGUGCGCCAGCUCAACACCUACGGCUUUAGGAAGGUAGAUCCAGAACAAUGGGAAUUUGCAAAUGAAGAAUUCCUACGAGAUCAGCGGCAUCGGUUGAAAAAUAUCCAUAGACGCAAGCCAAUAUUCAGCCAUUCAUCACACACUCAGGGUGCCGGACCAUUAGCUGAUAGUGAAAGGAGGGACUAUGAGGAGGAAAUUGAGAGGCUCAAGUGUGAUAAUGCAUCACUAAAUUUACAGCUUGAGAGGAAGAAAACUGAUAUGGAGAGUAAAAUGAAGGCUUUGGAAGACAAACUAUUUGCUAUUGAGGAUCAGCAGAAAAAUCUUAUAUCUUAUGUCAGAGAAAUUGUGAAUGCACCUGGAUUUCUUUCUAGCUUCGUAGAACAAUCUGAUCAUCAUGGAAAGAAGAGGAGACUGCCUAAACCAAUUUCAUUCCAUGAUGAUGCUUGUACUCAGGGGAACCAGAUUAUGCAUUGUGACUUGGUCAACUCACCAGCUCAUGAACUUUUUAGGUCAUCAUUUGACAAAAUGGAAUCAUCCUUAAAUUCCUUGGAGAAUUUCUUCAAAGAAGCGAGUGAGGCAUUUGGUAAUGAUGUUUCAUCUGAUGGUGAUGUCCCAGGUCAUUCUUCAGCUGUUGUUCUUACAGAGCUCCAUUCAACUGGGGAGAGUGACCCCCACGCGCAAUCACCUCCGUCCAUGAUGCAUACUUGUUCAGCUGGUGUAGGAGAUUCACACUCUUCUCGUGAUAUAGCAGAGUCCGCCAGCUGUCCAGAGAGUCCUCUGCUUCCCCAAGCUCAUUCUCGUGCAGAUUCACGAGCUAAGGUCUCCGAGAUAGAUGUCAAUUUAGAACCUGCUGUUACAGAAAAUGGUCCAUCGAGAGAUCAACAACCCACCCAAGACCUUCCUGCUGACGCAAAUGAUGGAUUUUGGCAGCAGUUUCUUACCGAGCAGCCUGGGUUGACCCAUGCACACCAGGAGGCCCAAUCAGAACGGCGAGACAGAGAAGCAAAUCAAACAACAGCAGGAGACCGCGGAAGUUUUUGGUUGGACAAGAGCAGCAUCGAACAGAUGACAAAAAAACUGGGGCAUCUCACCUCAGCUGAGAAAACCUGAGUAUGUAUUUCUCAUUUCUUGUAGCUGAAAAUGACCAGUACAGAAACAUUAGGACCAUGGCACCUCCCAGUGAGGUAUGCCUGCUAACAUUUACUUUGCAGUGUAUCAGAAUUGUGUGUGUUAGAUUGUUGCAGACUAUGUGCUAUAUACUACCUUGAUAUACGUUCAUACUUUGUUAGCUAAACAUUCAGAUACCAUUGUCCACGACUCGUGAUAUUUCUC
rnacentral:rRNA from 1 species